rnacentral:rRNA from 1 species
CCUACGGGUGGCAGCAGUGGGGAAUAUUGCACAAUGGGGGAAACCCUGAUGCAGCGACGCCGCGUGAGUGAAGACGUACUUCGGUAUGUACAGCUCUAUCAGCAGGGAAGAAAAUUACGGUACCUGAGUAAGAAGCCCCGUCUAACUACGUGCCAGCAGCCGCGGUAAUGCGUAGGGGGCAAGCGUUAUCCGGAUUUACUGGGGUUAAAGGGAGCGUAGUCGGCAGUGCAAGUCUGGAGUGAAAGGCGGGGGCUCAACCCCCGGACUGCUCUGGAAACUGUACGGCGGGAGUGCAGGAGAGGUAAGUGGAAUGCCUAGUGUAGCGGUGAAAUGCGUAGAUAUCAGGAGGAACACCGGUGGCGAAGGCAGCUUACUGGAGUGUAACUGACGUUGAGGCUCGAAAGCGUGGGGAGCGAACAGGAUUAGAUACCCUUGUAGUC